AUCCUCUGUGUCCAGGUUAUAAAUAUUAUGUCUGUGGAUCUGUUUACAGACAACUGUCAGUUUGGCCAUGUGUGUAUGGAUCUGUUUACAGAUGUGUGUCGAGGUAGCCAUGUUAUGUGUGGAUCUGUUUACAGACGUGUGUCAAGGUGGCCAUGCUGUGUGUGGAUCUGUUUACAGACGUGUCGAGGUAGCCAUGUUAUGUGUGGAUCUGUUUACAAACAUGUGUCAAGGUGGCCAUGUUGUGUGUGGAUCUGUUUACAGACAUGUGUCAAGGUGGCCAUGUUGUGUGUAGAUCUGUUUACAAACAUGUGUCAAGGUGGCCAUGUUAUGUGUGGAUCUGUUUACAAAUGUGCGUCAAACUGGCCAUGUUGUGUGUUGAUCUGUUUACAGACGUGUGUCAAGGUGGCCAUGUUGUGUGUUGAUCUGUUUACAGACGUGUGUCAAGGUGGCCAUGUUGUGUGUGUAUCUGUUUACAGACGUGUGUCAAGGUGGCCAUGUUAUGUGUUGAUCUGUUUACAGACGUGUGUCAAGGUGGCCAUGUUGUGUGUGUAUCUGUUUACAGACGUGUGUCAAGGUGGCCAUGUUGUGUGUGUAUCUGUU